GCUGCUGUAGCCCAAUUGGAAGAGGUGCUGGUUUUAGAAACCAGAGAUUGUGGGUUCAAUUCCCACCAGCAGUACCA
rnacentral:tRNA from 1 species